CACAGAGGGUGCGAGCGUUAAUCGGAAUUACUGGGCGUAAAGCGUGCGCAGGCGGUUUUGUAAGCCAGAUGUGAAAUCCCCGGGCUUAACCUGGGAAUGGCAUUUGGGACUGCAAGGCUUGAGUUUGGCAGAGGAGACUGGAAUUCCUGGUGUAGCAGUGAAAUGCGUAGAUAUCAGGAGGAAUACCGAUGGCGAAGGCAGGUCUCUGGGCUAGAACUGACGCUCAUGCACGAAAGCGUGGGGAGCAAACAGG
rnacentral:rRNA from 1 species